CACAGAAGCAAUGAGAAAUCAGCACAACUGUCAGGUGCAGGACCCUGGGGCAGCUUUCUAGGUUUUAGGUUGGCUGGUGCUAACUUGUGAUGUUUUGUUUCCAGGAUGCCAAAUCCAUCUCUAUAGUAAGCUUCAGAAAUGGGCCUUAGGACCUUGUGAACGACUGUUUACCCAAGGAUUUCGGUCUCUGGCACAGGGGUUGUGCCAGGUUACAGUUUCUCUGUAGCAGGAGCAUUAUAUUUGGUUUCAGGAUACCAAUGCUGGUAGACCUGCAGCACGAGAAGCACAUUACAUCCUUGCAUGUAAUGCAUGGCGAUUAUGGGAGGAGACUUAGAGAGAAGCUUGGAGUACACAUAGUAACUACAGGAGAAAAAUACACAUCAGCUUCAUGAAUCAUUGGGAAACAGCAGCAAAGAAAGAAUGCAUUGUAUCUGCAAAGCCUGUGAAAGCCUCAAGCCUUGGAUGUGAAUUAAGCUUGAUGUGAGGAAGCUGGGUUUUCCCAGGAGUCCAGUUUCAGUGCUCCUGUGGGAACAGCUGAGUUCAGGUUCUUAAUUUCUUCCCACCCAAGAAGUUACGUGACUAGCAGGUUCAAAAGGAGAAGCUUAGCCUCCUUUUCCUUGGAAGCAG